AAAUUUAUAAAUUUAUAAACUAUUUUUCUUUCCUCUAUGUCCAAAUAAAGAUAAUAAUUUUAUUUUUUUCUUUUCAUUCACUUAUAUUGUCUAGGAGAAAAUAACAAAAGGAAUUUUUUUUUAUUUUCCAUUUCCAUUUUAUUUCCUCCUGUAAUUGCUUUUCUUUUUUGUCCAACAAGAAAUUUCUCAAACUAAGUAUAAUUAGAGCAUAAUUUAGGUUUUAUUCUUUGAAAGACGAAAGCCCUGCGAUCUACCAGUCCCGGAUUCACUCGCUGAAAUGAAAGGACGAAGCGAAAGAAAAUCUAUGCUUGAUUUCCCAUCUGAUUCCAUUUGGAUUCCGACCACAAGGCGAAUCGAGCCUUUCUUCGAACGAGGCCUGUCUGUCCAUGCAACAAAAUCAGAAAUCAAGAUGAAAAAAAGCAUAAAAUAUCAAACCCCUUCACACACACACACAGACGGAUUAGAGCUCUCACUUCAAAGCAAAUCCCAAGCAGAUUGUGCUCUCCUUCCUCCUUCCGUUUCUUUCUCCUUUAAUUACCUGGCAAAGUGGAUGUUUCUGAUUCAUUUGAUUUUUGUUUAAAAGAUCCGAUCUGAAAGCACGCAAAGGGAGAAGAUCAACAGACAAAGAGAGAUACGUGGGUCCACCAAUCCAUUAUAGUAUCACAUCUAAGAUUUUGUGACCGUACCUAACAAAUAUUUAUAUUUAUAGGGAGUUGACACAAAGGCACAACAACCACUUGCGCGGCAGCCCAAGCGGCGGCUUUCUAAUUUUAACGCCGCCGAUCCUGACAUAGCUCCUUCUCAACUACU
rnacentral:lncRNA from 1 species